GAGCUUACUUAGAUAUUACGAACUUAAAAUAUAAAUAUGUAAUACAUAUGACCCAUGUAUUUAACCCGAUUUAGCGUUGGGAUCACCGAUUUACCGGGCAAACUCAGCUGGGUUGAAUAACACUGAUCUAAAUUGUCUUCCUCUAAUUUUGGUUAAUAACAGUGAUCUAAACUUGCAUCCACUAAUUUUCAGGUAAAAAUUACACAUGGGAAAAACCAGGUAUUUGCAUUAGAGACUGACAUCAUCGUGAAAGCCCCAAGUCCAGGAAUUUGUUUUGUCAUCUCUAACAAGGUGUCCAAUGAAUAAAAAGGCUAUACACAGAGCAUUCCAACUUUAUGAAUUCCUUUGCACAAUUCUGCUCCGUAGAAAUGUUAAAACCAGCAUCAGCUUGUAACCUGUUUAUAACUUUACAACUUUCUAAUGAAGAUGUUCCAAGUUUUCAGAAGUUCUUUCCAGAUGAACACAUACUCGCCGUUACUUCUUGGAGGGAAUGAUAACAGCAGAGAAUGCUAGUCAACGGAUAGCUGUGAUUGUAACUCUACUCCAAUGAGAAUUCUUCAAGCCAUAUUAACACUUCAUUCCUCUUUGAUCCGACCAACCAUAAAUGGAUAAAGAGAAUUUGUCAGUCGUUAUGAUGAAAAAUAUGAAAAACAGAUGGUUCCAGCAAUGAUAAUUUCUUAAUUAACAAUUUAACAUGACCAAACUUGUACCCACCAUCACUGAGACAGUCUUAUCAACUGAACCAAUCUUUGUUGGCCAAGAGCAUGCCAUAUCGGUGUUAACUGUUAAAUAAUUCAUUUGUGUAAAGAAACACAUAUUUUAAAUUUGAAUUUCAUAUAUUAAUUAAUGGCUUAUUGGCUUAUAUGGGCCAGAAAACUAUAAAUACCUCCUUGUAGAGAGAGAGAGUCUAUUUAGAUUCUGAGUUGAGAAGAAAAUGAGGAGUACAGAGAUUUUUUUUUUCUUUGGAGAAAAGUAAAUCUCAGGAAAGAAAAUACUGGAUUUCCAUAUAUUCCCAGUUAUCACAGCAUUUCACAUUUCAUAAAUUAGAUGCAUUAUGCAGCCAACAAUUUUUCAGUUAUCCUAUCUAUUUCUGUUAUUUUUCACAUUGCAUCGCUGUAAAUCAAUGUUUCUCAGGAAAGAACUAUCCUGCUAUCAAAGUAAUUAGCUUUUCCAUUUACUUAGAAGAAUUAAAACUAAGAUUGUUGAUAUCAGAUUUCACUGAAAAUGGUAGAACUAAUCUGAGCAGGAGAAACAAAGGAAAUGAACUUCACGACAGGCAAGAAAUAUAUCAUACCAUUGUAAAGCUCCAUGUUCUGCCUGGAUCAUUAUAGCGGGCAAGUAAACAACCUAUCAUAGGUCUAAGGCCAUCUUUGACAAGAAUUGAGCGUAGUACUUUCUCUUUCUCACGAACCAUAUUAUCAGUUGGUUUUCCACUGAACUUUAGCACUGCAGCAAUGCCUCCUUCCACCUUCCUCAAGCUAAUUUUCUCUUCAUUAGGAUCAGGUAAACUGGUGAAAGAUACAUGAUUGUUUCUUAACCACUCAUAUUAUGAAGAGAAAUCAUUGAAUUUCAUUCCCAAGUAAAAUUCUAUCUCAGCAGGAUAUUUCCAAUAAAUCAGUAAUUGUUGCAUAAUUACUGGUUUAAUCAAUUUCCGCCAAUUUCAGUUUGAACUUUAGGAGCUCUAAAAAAUUAAUGAGUUCACCUGCUAAAUUCUUUCUCCAAAGGAAGAACUAUUUGGAUGGACACUUUUGACAACUCAACAUCAUUUGCCUGAGUGAAUACUGGCGUAGUCAUUGGUAUUUUUUCCUUUGUCGAAUUCUUUCCAAAGAUAUACCUAGAAAAAUGGCAUCGACUAUCUAUAGAUACUAAGGGAAGGAGAAAAAAAGUGUUAUUGAAUUGGAUUCCAACAGAUACUCACCCAGCAACAUCAUUGAAUCCAGUUGAGCCAGACAAUUUAUCUCCUCUUGUUUCUACCACAAUAAAUGGGGCAUACUUUCUUACCUGUAAAACCAUUGAUAUACAGUCAGAGUUAUGUCAUUCUUUGAGAAGCAUACAAUUUAGCUUCAGAAUAAUCAAGGAAAAGCUACUGCUAUCAUUUACUAAUCAUUAAAAAAAAUGUAGCUAUUUAGUUAAGGGCAAGCAAAUUACUUGGUCAAUGGAAAAAGUGAUAGAAUUCAGCAGGACAGUUGCCACUUUAAUAUUUGCUGGUCAUAUUUUAGUUCUUUAGUUUAAUCACUUCGCACAGAGCAACCAUCCUAGCAGCACAUUUCACUGUAGCUGGAAGUUUCAUCAGGCUAUCCUCUUUCAAUGUUCUUCCUCGCUUAUGAUAUGAUUUCAUCUUGACCUCUUCUAUAUUUAAAAUUACAGCAUUACGCAUAUUGCUUUGGACCUAUAAGUUAAGUGUUGUAUUUUUGUGUGAUCAUCCUUACCAAUGAACUGGAAUUCUAGCAAACCAACCCAAUUUCCCAGUAAAAAGAAAAAACAAGGAGAAAUGUUUUGGUUUCAUAACUCACCCAUAACUCCAACCAAAACAACUGGGAUAACAGUUUUUAUUUGUGUAUAACUAAGAUAAUAGUAAGAGCAUAUAACGGUAAACUGACCAACCAUUGCUCCAGGAUAAGGCAGACAAACCUCAUAACUAGCAGUCCUUUUCAGAAUCUGAUAUUUGGGUGUUUCCAAGUCAGGAGUCUUGUAAAUCCUCAACUACGAAAAAUCAUAACCUACAUAUCAGGAUUGGCAACAAAUUUCAUCUGCAAUGGCCUUUCAUGCAAAUAAGGAACCCAUACCUGCUUAAACACAUCCCACAAACCUUCAAGUGAAAAGUACUCAUUAUUCUUUAUGGAAUCCCAGAAGUCCAAAUGGCUGCAGAAUUUCCCAGUGUCUGGGUUAAUUCCCAUGACAGAGGUUCCUGUAAAGAUUAAUUCUGGUUUCCAUGGAAGAAGCGUGAACUUCAUCACCAUAGUCCACCUCGUAGUAAUCUCAUAAGGUCCUGUCUGUUUGACCCAGUGCAAGAAGAACUGAGGCGUGAAGAGAACCUUUAAGAGAGCAAUGUUAAAGAGGUAGCCACUUAUACUGUCAUGCUUAGUUAUGGGGUCCCUGAACUUCACAAGCUCAUCGUACGCCGUCCUAUCAAUGCCCUGAUCAUCAAAGAGAUGUGGAAGGUCAUCAUACAAGAAGUCUACCAACUGUUUAACGUCAACCGCCGUUGUUUCUGCAGAUGGGCUCUGCUCCACCAGGCUCAGCCUAAGGGCCCACUUCGAGCUCCGAGACCCAGAGGUUCUCACUGCUAAGUUUCUUGUCCCGAAGUUCUU
rnacentral:misc_RNA from 1 species